rnacentral:rRNA from 1 species
GUGUCAGCAGCCGCGGUAAUACGAAGGGGGCUAGCGUUGCUCGGAAUUACUGGGCGUAAAGGGCGCGUAGGCGGCUUUGUUAGUCAGGCGUGAAAGCCCUGGGCUCAACCUGGGGACUGCGCUUGAUACGGCAGGGCUAGAGGAUGGAAGAGGGUCGCGGAAUUCCCAGUGUAGAGGUGAAAUUCGUAGAUAUUGGGAAGAACACCGGUGGCGAAGGCGGCGACCUGGUCCAUUACUGACGCUGAGGCGCGACAGCGUGGGGAGCAAACAGGAUUAGAAACCCGCGUAGUCC